AAGCUCGUAGUUGAAUUUCGGGGUUAGUAGGUUGGUCAUGCCUCUGGUAUGUACUGGUCUCACUGAUUCCUCCUUCCUGAUGAACCGUAAUGCCAUUAAUUUGGUGUUGCGGGGAAUUUGGACUGUUACUUUGAAAAAAUUAGAGUGUUUAAAGCAAGCUAACGCUUGAAUACAUUAGCAUGGAAUAAUGAAAUAGGACGUUCGAUCCUAUUUUGUUGGUUUCUAGGAUUGACGUAAUGAUUAAUAGGGAUAGUUGGGGGCAUUAGUAUUCAAUUGUCAGAGGUGAAAUUCUUGGAUUUAUUGAAGACUAACUACUGCGAAAGCAUUUGCCAAGGAUGUUUUCAUUAAUCAAGAACGAAAGUUAGGGGAUCGAAGACGAUCAGAUACCGUCGUAGUCUUAACCAUAAACUAUGCCGACUAGGGAUCGGAUGAUGUUAAUUUUUUAAUGACUCAUUCGGCGCCUUACGGGAAACCAAAGUGUUUGGGUUCCGGGGGGAGUAUGGUCGCAAGGCUGAAACUUAAAGGAAUUGACGGAAGGGCACCACCAGGGGUGGAGCCUGCGGCUUAAUUUGACUCAACACGGGGAAA
rnacentral:rRNA from 1 species